rfam:Picea glauca, whole genome shotgun sequence.
GAAAUGGUGUCUUUAGACACCACCGUUAUUCUUAGAGUAUUAUUC